ACGGGGUGCAGCAGGCGCGAAAACUUUGCAAUGUGCGAAAGCACGACAAGGUUAAUCCGAGUGAUUUCUGCUAAAGAAAUCUUUUGUUAGUUUUAGAAAAACUGACGAAUAAGGGGUGGGCAAGUUCUGGUGUCAGCCGCCGCGGUAAAACCAGCACCUCAAGUGGUCAGGAUGAUUAUUGGGCCUAAAGCAUCCGUAGCCGGAUGUAUAAGUUUUCGGUUAAAUCUAUGUGCUCAACGUAUAGGCUGCCGGAAAUACUGUGGAUCUAGGGAGUGGGAGAGGUAGACGGUACUCGGUAGGAAGAGGUAAAAUCCUUUAAUCUAUCGAUGACCACCAGUGGCGAAGGCGGUCUACCUGAACACGUUCGACGGUGAGGGAUGAAAGCUGGGGGAGCAAACCGGAUUAGAUACCCGGGUAGUCCCAGCUGUAAACAAUGCAAACUCAAUGAUGCAUCGGGUUGAACCCGGUGCAGUGUUGCAGGGAAGCCGUUAAGUUUGCCGCCUGGGAAGUACGUACGCAAGUAUGAAACUUAAAGGAAUUGGCGGGGGAGCAC
rnacentral:rRNA from 1 species